CUUGAGGGGGGGUGUCCCUCAACCUGGAUUGCGAGAGGGUGCUGGUCAGGCCGAGGGACCCCACUGGUGCACA
rfam:Myotis davidii contig58497, whole genome shotgun sequence.